AUUGAACGCUGGCGGUAGGCCUAACACAUGCAAGUCGAACGGCAGCACAGUAAGAGCUUGCUCUUACGGGUGGCGAGUGGCGGACGGGUGAGGAAUACAUCGGAAUCUACUUUUUCGUGGGGGAUGACGUAGGGAAACUUACGCUAAUACCGCAUACGACCUACGGGUGAAAGCAUGGGAUCUUCGGACCUUGCGCGAUUGAAUGAGCCGAUGUCGGAUUAGCUAGUUGGCGGGGUAAAGGCCCACCAAGGCGACGAUCCGUAGCUGGUCUGAGAGGAUGAUCAGCCACACUGGAACUGAGACACGGUCCAGACUCCUACGGGAGGCAGCAGUGGGGAAUAUUGGACAAUGGGCGAAAGCCUGAUCCAGCCAUACCGCGUGGGUGAAGAAGGCCUUCGGGUUGUAAAGCCCUUUUGUUGGGAAAGAAAAGCAGCAGGUUAAUACCCCGCUGUUCUGACGGUACCCAAAGAAUAAGCACCGGCUAACUUCGUG
rnacentral:rRNA from 1 species